rnacentral:rRNA from 1 species
UACGUAGGGACCAAGCGUUGUUCGGAUUUACUGGGCGUAAAGGGCGCGUAGGCGGCGUGUCAAGUCAGCUGUGAAAUCUUGAGGCUUAACCUCAAGCGGUCAGCUGAUACUGAUGUGCUAGAGUGCAGAAGGGGCAAUCGGAAUUCUUGGUGUAGCGGUGAAAUGCGUAGAUAUCAAGAGGAACACCUGAGGUGAAGACGGGUUGCUGGGCUGACACUGACGCUGAGGCGCGAAAGCCAGGGGAGCAAACGGG